rnacentral:tRNA from 1 species
CGGGGUGUGGCCUAGCUGGUAAGGCGCUAGACUGGGGGUCUAGAGAUCGCGUGUUCAAGUCACGUCACUCCGA